UGGAAAGAAGAGGAUUCUAACCUCUGUUUGUGGGGUUACAGGCCACCGCUUAAAACUCAGCCAUCUUACC
rnacentral:tRNA from 1 species